AUUGAACGCUGGCGGCAGGCUUAACACAUGCAAGUCGCACGAGUGGCGGACGGGUGAGUAAUGCAUGGGAAUCUAGCUUAUGGAUGGGGAUAACUACGGGAACCUGUAGCUAAUACUGCGUACCUAUGGCUGAGCCCACAUUGGAUGAGGUAGUUGGUGAGGUAAAGGCUCACCAAGCCGACGAUCUCUAGCUGGUCUGAGAGGAGGACCAGACACACAGGCACGUAGACACUGCCCAGACUCCGACGGGAGGCAGCAGGAGAGAAUAGUGAGCAAUGGGGGAAACCUGACGCAGCAAUGCCGCGUGAAUGAGGAAGGCCUUCGGGUUGUAAAUUUCUUUCGGUAGCGAUGCGUUAACUACAGAAGAAGCACCGGCUAACUCCGUGCCAGCAGCCGCGGUAAUAC
rnacentral:rRNA from 1 species